UCGAGGCCAGCCUGGUUUACAAAGUGAGUUUCAGGACAGCCAGGGCUACACAGAGAAACCCUGUCUCGAAAAAACAAAAUCCAAAAAACCAAAAAAAAAAAAAAAAAAAAAAAAUCUUGUUUCCGCAUAGAAAUUUCAGGGAAUGUGUAACAGUUAGCCCAGAAAGACUGUUCUUUACAGACAAGCCAGCAUGGUAAAACAAAACAAAAUAAGCAAACAAAAGAGUUGUAAUUCCAAUCAUGGGGGAAGAGACCUCUCUUCGCCUUAGCGAAGAGAAGUACACAUCACUUCAGUCACUUCUGUAGUUGUCAGAUGGUCACACUGCGUUGCAAAGGACUCAGAGUGUUUCUUUGCCAGUUGUUCUGGCUUUGCCAAGCAGUGAGUGCGGUAUCCCAGUCUGGGAAUAGUUCAGCCGAGAGCUUGAGGGACAGACACAUCGUGCAGUGCUCUCUGGGUCUUCAAGUCAGCACCUCCGAUAUUCUGUCAGUAAUUUUGUGAGCAAAACAGAACAGCUAUCCUCAGAGCUUUGCAAGUGAUAAAGAAGUCAAACAUGCUAUUUCAUUUUAUUCAGUAUCCAGCUGACAGGUAGGCUGACCGUUUCUUUCUUAUCUAGAACAAUUGGUCUUAGUUGAGGGUGAUUUUUGUGCCCAAGGUUUUUGUGUUAAGGUUCUCUAGAGUUACAGAACUUAUUGAAUGAACCUAUCUACUAUCUAUCUAUCUAUCUAUCUAUCUAUCUAUCACCUAGCUAUGUACCUAUCUAUGUAUCUAUCUAUCCACCUAUGUACAUAUGUAUGUAUAUAUGUAUGUGUAUAUGUAUGUAUCUAUCUACCCAUCUACCUAUCACCUAUGUAUGUAUCUAUCCACCUAUGUACCUAUGUAUGUAUGUAUGUGUCUGUCUGUCUAUCCAUCUAUCUAUCUAUCUAUCUAUCUAUCUAUCUAUCUAUCUAUCUAUCUAUCUAAAGGGAAUUUAUUGGAACAACUUACAGACUGUAGACCAACUAACUCAACAAUGGCCAGCUGUGAGUGGGAAGUUCAAGAAUGUAGUGGCAGCUCAGUCCUACGAGGCUGGGUGUGUCAGCUGGUCUUCUAUAUAAGCUGGCAUCCUGAAGAAGAUGUUCCAAGAAAUGUGCUGCCAAUAAGUGCAAGCAGACGAAGAAGAAGGAACACACACACACACACACACACACACACACACACCCCCGUCUCCUGUUGUCUUCUUGCUUCAAGAUCCAGGUCAAAGGUGUGCCCUCUAUUUGUGGAGUGUAGUUCCUUCCGAUAUAGUCAGGUUGACAACCAAGAACAGCUGUCAUCAUUUCCAAACUAUUUCUAAACUAAAUAACGAGUGAAAAAGUCAUAAACCUGGAGUUCAGGCCUGUUUGUACAGAACAAUUCACAUGAGGUUGUAAAACCCCAGUUGUGGGGCUGGAGAGAUGGUUCAGCUGUUAGAGCCCCUGGUGUGGUUGCCAAGGUCCCAGGUCUAAUCCUGGAACCCACAUGUGGUUCCCAACCUUCUGUAACUCUGGCUAUAUUUUCUAGUGCUUAGAGAUACUUAAACAGUUUGUUACAUUUAUUUAUUUACUUAUUUGCUUAUUUAUUAUGUGUUGUUAUUGUAAACCAGGCUGGCCAUGAACUCACCUGCCUGUGCCUCCCAAGUGCUGGAAUUAAAGGUGUGUGCCACCAUGCCCAGCUGGAGAGACCUUUUUUAUUGUCAGGACUGGGGCUGGGGUACUACUGGCAUCAGAUGGGUAGAAGCCAGAGGUGGUGAUAAACACCCUACUAUGCACUGUACAGCCUUCUCUCUCUAAAGAGAAAUUCAGUCUAACAUGUCAAUGGUCAAAUGUAAAGAACCUGGAUAUGGGAGCUAGAGAGUUGGCUACACAGUUAAGAGCAUUUGUUGUUCUUUCAAAGGACCCAGGUUCAGUUCCCAGCACCCACAUGGUGACUCAAGGCCAUCCGACACUCUAGUUCCAGGAUAUCUGACACCAUCUUCUGCCUCCCUUGGGUGCCAGUCAUGCUGGAGGCUCACAUAUAUACAGAUAGACAAAACAAAGGAAUAAAUAAAAGAGUCCAACACAGAACUAGAAUCUGAGCACCCAAGUGCCUGCCACCCAGUUCUCUCAGAAAGCCGACCUGGCUGUCCACCCCAGUACUCUGCUGUUUUAAGCACUGGAAAUUACAGUCCCUGACCAGGAUGUGCCCCAGCCUCCUUUGCAGCAUGACUCUGUGACUAGUUCUCACCAAUGGUACAUAAUCGAGAAUGAAGUGUGCCAUCUCCCUUUUUCCCUUUCUGCUGGCAGGAUGGAGAUGACAGCCUGGAUCCCUGAGUCAUCAUAGGGAGAGCUGCCCAUCUUAGAAAUAUAGGUGGCAUUUAAAAAAGUUGUAGUUUUUGUUAUUACUCGGUUCGUGUAUGUGUGUGUGUGUGUGUGUGUGUGUGUGCGCGUGCGCGCGCGCGCGCCACAUAGCAUGCCUGUAGAGGUCAGAGGACAACUUUUGGGAGUUCAUUCUCUCGUUCCCCUUGGUUGAGGCAGGGUCCCGUCCCAUUUUUUUCACCCUUUCAUGUAUUCUGGGCUAGCUGGCCCUCAAGCUUACAGUUCUCCUGUGUCUGCCUUCCAUCUUGCCACAGGAGUGCUGGGACUACAGAUGUUGCUGCUGAAUCUGACUUAAAAACAAACCAGGCAUCGGUGGGGCAGCACCUGGGAGGCAGUGGCAGGAAGAUCUCUGAGUUCCAGGACAGCCAGGACUACAGAGAAACCGUCUUGAAAGCAUACAAACAAACAAGCAAAAGCCCUGACCACAUAUUUUAUUAUUUGUUUUAUGUGUAUGGCUGUUUUGCCUGCAUGUAUGCCUGUGCACAACAUGCGUGUCUUGUUCCUGUGGAGGAAACUGGAGUUUUAUUUGAGUUUUUUUGUUGUUGUUCUGGUUUUCUUGCAUGUAUAUUUGUGUACUACAUACAUGCCUGGUGCCCUCAGAGGCCGGAAGAGGGUGUGGAUCCCCUGGAUAGAGUUCCCGUGAGCUGAGCACCCCGUUCUGCUAAGUGCUCCCACUGUGAUGUACUGCGCUGCUACAGGCUCAGAGCGACGAGGCCGAUGAGACGGUGAUCCAAGACAAGUCUUUCCUUUUCUUAGCGUAUUUACCCCAGUGUGGAAGGCUAGCUCUGGGGUUGCUGCUCCUUCGGAAC